GCUGGGUGUGGUGAUGUGCACCUGUAGUCUCAGCUACUCAGGAGGCUGAGGCAGGUGGAUUGAUUGAGUCCGGGACAUCAAGGCUGCAGUGAGCCCUGACUGGGCCACUGUGCUGUAGCCUGGGUGACAGAACAAGACCCUGUCUCAA
ensembl:misc_RNA Metazoa_SRP Metazoan signal recognition particle RNA